rnacentral:misc_RNA from 1 species
GAGAAAGAAAUCCGCCCCGAGAUGCACCUGCAGCCCCGCGCCCAUCCGUGCAUGGCUGCGGCUGUGCGUGCCCGCGAACGGGGACCAGCGGCCGCCGAGUCCGUCCACAUCGCCAGGCCAGGAGUCAGAACAAGGACGGGCCUGUGAUGUGUCUGUCUAUGACGAGGAGGACAAUGUCCUAAGGAAUGGAGAGGAAGAAAGUGAAGGGAACCAGGUCCCUGGAUUCCAUGUGGAACAGUAGCCCAGGAUGUGCACUAUGGACUGUUACAAGAGAGAGACAUGAUCUUCCUUAAGGCAUUGAUUUGUCAUGAGUCUCUUUGUUAUAGCCACUUAACGUUACCUUAAUACACCCACUUCAUGGAUAAGUAAAACUGAGGCUUGGAGAAGCCCACAUUGACACAGCAAAGAAGGCUGGGGCUCUUGUGCUGGUUAAAUGGACCUUGAUGUCUUCCAAAUGUUUUCAUGCUGGAUUCUGAGCCACUCUCCUGGCUGCAACUCUGAGGCCGGGCAGACUUUCCGCUGGAAAGAGAACUCAAAUACUGGUGAGAGGUGGAUUUGAAGCCAGGAGCCCCAGGUUUUGGCUCUGCAGGUUUGCACCCAGCUCUGUGGUGUAUGCCCUCACAGGUCACCCA